rnacentral:rRNA from 1 species
UCAAGCGAUAGGUAAGGGCAUUUGGUGAAUGCCUUGGCAAUCAGAGGCGAAGAAGGACGUGGUACACUGCGAAAAGUUACGGGGAGUUGUGAACAAGCAUUGAUCCGUAAAUAUCCGAAUGGGGAAACCCACAGAGCAAUCUGUACUGCAUGAUGAAUAAAUAGUUAUGCAGGGCGAACGCAGGGAACUGAAACAUCUAAGUACCUGUAGGAAAGGAAAUCAACCGAGACUCCGAAAGUAGUGGCGAGCGAAAUCGGACCAGCCGAUGGAUAGUCAGUAAAGAAUCAGAAUUACCUGGAAAGGUAAGCCGGAGAGGGUGACAGCCCCGUACGAGUAGAAAAGCUGACUGUUCUUGAGUAAGGCGGAGCACGAGAAAUUCUGUCUGAAAAUGGGGAGACCACUCUCCAAGGCUAAGUACUACUGAUUGACCGAUAGUGAACAAGUACCGUGAGGGAAAGGUGAAAAGCACCCCUAUAAGGGGAGUGAAAGAGAACCUGAAACCGGAUGCCUACAAGCAGUCGGAGGGUCAUAAGGCCUGACGGCGUACCUUUUGUAUAAUGGGUCAGCGACUUAAUUUAUGUAGCAAGCUUAAGCCGAUAGGUGUAGGCGUAGAGAAAUCGAGUGUUAACAGCGCGUUAAGUUACAUGAAUUAGACCCGAAACCGAGUGAUCUAGCCAUGAUCAGGUUGAAGGUUGGGUAACACCAACUGGAGGACCGAACCCACUCCCGUUGAAAAGGUAGGGGAUGAAUUGUGGCUAGGGGUGAAAGGCCAAUCAAACUCGGAAAUAGCUGGUUCUCCGCGAAAACUAUUUAGGUAGUGCGGUGAGCGGACACCUUGAGGGGUAGAGCACUGGAAGAGCUAAGGGGGAGCGAUCCUUACUAAACUUUACCAAACUCCGAAUACUCAAGAGUGAUACUCACCAGACAGACAUUAGGUGCUAAGGUCUAGUGUCGAGAGGGAAAGAGCCCAGACCGCCAAUUAAGGUCCCAAAAUUAUGGCUAAGUGGUAAAGGAAGUGAAACGUCCAAAACAGUCAGGAGGUUGGCUUAGAAGCAGCCAUCCUUUAAAGAAAGCGUAAUAGCUCACUGAUCUAAACAAGACGUCUUGCGCCGAAGAUGUAACGGGGCUAAAGCCAUAUACCGAAGUUGCGGAUUUACACGUUAAAGUGUAAGUGGUAGCGGAGCGUUCUGUAAGCCUGCGAAGGUGUACCGUAAGGUAUGCUGGAGGUAUCAGAAGUGAGAAUGCUGACAUGAGUAGCGAAAAGAAGAGUGAGAGACUCUUCCGCUGAAAGUCCAAGGUUUCCUGCGUAAAGCUAAUCUGCGCAGGGUUAGUCGGUCCCUAAGGCGAGGCAGAGAUGCGUAGUCGAUGGCAAUCAGGUUAAUAUUCCUGAACCGGCCCGGAAGUGACGGAUUGAGUAAAUUGUAAGUUCUUAUUGGAUUGAGCUUGCAGUGAAUCAGUCCCAGGAAAUAGCCCGGGCUAAGACCGUACCCGAAACCGACACAGGUGGACAGGUAGAGAAUACCAAAGCGCUUGAGAGAACUAUGUUGAAGGAACUAGGCAAAAUACUUGCGUAACUUCGGGAUAAGCAAGCCCCAUUUUAAGGCAACUUAGGGUGGGGGGCACAUACUAGGGGGUAGCGACUGUUUACUAAAAACACAGGGCUCUGCUAAAUUGAAAGAUGAAGUAUAGGGUCUGACGCCUGCCCGGUGCUGGAAGGUUAAGGAGAGAUGUGCAAGCAUUGAACUGAAGCCCCAGUAAACGGCGGCCGUAACUAUAACGGUCCUAAGGUAGCGAAAUUCCUUGUCGGGUAAGUUCCGACCUGCACGAAUGG